rnacentral:misc_RNA from 1 species
GAUGAAGGAACGCAGCGAAAUGCGAUACGUAAUGUGAAUUGCAGAAUUCAGUGAAUCAUCGAAUCUUUGAACGCAUAUUGCGCUCUCUGGUAUUCCGGAGAGCAUGCUUGUUUGAGUAUCAGUAAACACCUCAACUUCCAUAUCUUUUUUUGAAAUGGGAGUUGGACUUGAGUGAUCCCAACGCUUUUCCUCACCGAAAAGUGGCGGGUUACUUGAAAUGCAGGUGCAGCUGGACUUUUCUCUGAGCUAUAAGCAUAUCUAUUUAGUCUGCCUAAAAAACAGAUUAUUACCUUUGCUGCAGCUAACAUAAAGGAGAUUAGUUCUUGUGCUGACUGAUGCAGGAUUCACAAAGACAGCUUCGGCCGACUUUGUAAACUCGAUCUCAAAUCAAGUAAGACUACCCGCUGAACUUAAGCAUAUCAAUAAGCGGAGGA